GAUGAAGAACGUAGCGAAAUGCGAUACGUAAUGUGAAUUGCAGAAUUCAGUGAAUCAUCGAAUCUUUGAACGCAUAUUGCGCUCUCUGGUAUUCCGGAGAGCAUGCUUGUUUGAGUAUCAGUAAACACCUCAACUCCCUUUUCUUUUUUGAAAUGGGAGCUGGACUUGAGUGAUCCCAACACUUUUCUCACUGGAAAGUGGCGGGUCACUUGAAAUGCAGGUGCAGCUGGACUUUUCUCUGAGCUAUAAGCAUAUCUAUUUAGUCUGCCUAAAAAACAGAUUAUUACCUUUGCUGCAGCUAACAUAAAGGAGAUGAGUUCUUGUGCUGACUGAUGCAGGAUUCACAGAGACAGCUUUGCGGCUGACUUUGUAAACUCGAUCUCAAAUCAAGUAAGACUACCCGCUGAACUUAAGCAUAUCAAUAACGGAGGA
rnacentral:misc_RNA from 1 species